CACGAACGCUGGCGGCGUGCCUAAUACAUGCAAGUAGAACGCAGAGGUCAGGUGCUUGCACUGGACUGAUGAGUUGCGAACGGGUGAGUAACGCGUAGGUAACCUACCUGAUAGCGGGGGAUAACUAUUGGAAACGAUAGCUAAUACCGCAUAAAAGCCAAUGACCCAUGUCAUUGGCUUGAAAGAAGCAAACGCUUCACUAUGAGAUGGACCUGCGUUGUAUUAGCUAGUUGGUAGGGUAAAGGCCUACCAAGGCGACGAUACAUAGCCGACCUGAGAGGGUGAACGGCCACACUGGGACUGAGACACGGCCCAGACUCCUACGGGAGGCAGCAGUAGGGAAUCUUCGGCAAUGGGGGGAACCCUGACCGAGCAACGCCGCGUGAGUGAAGAAGGUUUUCGGAUCGUAAAGCUCUGUUGUUAGAGAAGAACAGUGAUGGGAGUGGAAAGUCCAUCAUUUGACGGUAACUAACCAGAAAGGGACGGCUAACUACGUGCCAGCAGCCGCGGUAA
rnacentral:rRNA from 1 species